rnacentral:rRNA from 1 species
UACGUAGGGUGCGAGCGUUUUUUUUUUUUUUUUUUUUUAACGGAAUUACUGGGCGUAAAGCGUGCGCAGGCGGUUUUUGUAAGUCAGAUGUGAAAUCCCCGGGCUUAACCUGGGAACUGCGUUUUGAAACUACAAGGCUAGAGUGUGGCAGAGGGGGGGGUGGAAUUCCACGUGUAGCAGUGAAAUGCGUAGAGAUGUGGAGGAACACCGAUGGCGAAGGCAGCCCCCUGGGUUAACACUGACGCUCAGGCACGAAAGCGUGGGGAGCAAACAGG